UACGGAGGGUGCAAGCGUUAUCCGGAUUCACUGGGUUUAAAGGGUGCGUAGGCGGGUUGGUAAGUCAGUGGUGAAAUCUUCAAGCUUAACUUGGAAACUGCCGUUGAUACUAUCAAUCUUGAAUAUUGUGGAGGUAAGCGGAAUAUGUCAUGUAGCGGUGAAAUGCUUAGAUAUGACGCAGAACACCAAUUGCGAAGGCAGCUUGCUACACUGUUAUUGACACUGAGGCACGAAAGCGUGGGGAUCAAACAGG
rnacentral:rRNA from 1 species